rnacentral:lncRNA from 1 species
CAGCAGCUCAAUCUGACUGAAAGGCAGAAAAAGGCCUCUAGAAGGGAGAUGACUCCAGAGCUGAGUGGGAAACGCAGUUACAACAUAACAAUGACUUAUUGUUACAUCAGCUGGGUUAGGGCACAAGAGAAAGUUCCGAGCACAGAGAACUGCAUAUGUGAAGGUGUGGCCUCAUGAAACCACAGCACACUGUUAGGAGCUACCAGCCUGUCACAAGUGGGUGUGAAGGUUGCCUAGAGGAGACUACCAGGAGAUAACACUGAAGGGGUGGAUUAGGAAAGCCCUUGUGCACCAUCUUGAACUUUACCUUGAAUGCAAUGGAGAGCUGUGAAAGGGCUUUAAGCAAGGCCCAGGCCUCACUGAAUCUGUGGUUUAGAAAGAACUCUCUGGUUACAAGAUGGAGCAUGGAUGCAAGCGAGAUCAUUUGUGCUGUCAGCAUGCAGUUUUUCCAGUUCAGUAAAGUAGGUCAUAUAGGAAUAUUGGAUUCAUCUGUGCCACUCUUGAAGCCUUUGAAGAUUAAUGAGUUUCUGCAAUGCAUGCAAAGUGUUUUAAAUUCUUGGAAGACAAGAUUUGCCUGUUAUGAAACAGCAACAUCCCCAAUUAUCAGCCAUUAAGCUUCCCACCAACCUCAGCCAACAAUCAAAUGCAUGGAAAAGAAAAUCUCUUUUUAAAACAUAAAUCUGAUGAUGUCACUACCUAUUCAAAAAGCUUUCAUGGUGUCACAUUGCCUGCAGGAGGGAAUCCAAGCUGUUUUUAAAAACACUCAAGAUUCCCUUGGUUGGGAAUCUGACCCCUCUUUGUCCUCCAUUCCUGUUUCCUCCAGUCUUACCAAGUCCUUCACUAUUUCUGCCUGGUAUGAACUGCUGACAUCUGUGCCUUUGUCUAACUGCAGUACUUUAUGUCCACCAUUUAAAUAUCUAUUAAUGCAUUAACACCCUGAUCAAACCCAGUUCCUCUAGCAACCUCCCUGUGUCUG